UACGGAGGGUGCAAGCGUUAUCCGGAUUCACUGGGUUUAAAGGGUGCGUCGGUGGGCAGGUAAGUCAGUGGUGAAAUCUCCGAGCUUAACUCGGAAACUGCCGUUGAUACUAUUUGUCUUGAAUAUUGUGGAGGUAAGCGGAAUAUGUCAUGUAGCGGUGAAAUGCUUAGAUAUGACAUAGAACACCAAUUGCGAAGGCAGCUUACUACACAACGAUUGACGCUGAGGCACGAAAGCGUGGGGAUCAAACAGG
rnacentral:rRNA from 1 species